GGAAGGGUGCUUAGCCUAAGGUCUUCC
rnacentral:snRNA from 1 species